rnacentral:lncRNA from 1 species
GAAGGUUCAAGAUUCAUGCAAAACCAGUUUAGAGAACGAACUGCCACAAUGCUUUACAUGAGAAAGAGAAACAGGACAAACAAAUCUAGGAAGAGGGCGGAGAUCUGGCCCAGCCGGGCAUCAGUUUUCCAGGGCCAGCAGAGGAGGAACUAGGUAGAGUACAGAUAACAGCCUUGAUUAUUGGAAAGAUUAGAUGUCACCAGACAUGCUCCAGGUUUGAGUGGCAGUCUGCAAAGCCAGGCA